rnacentral:misc_RNA from 1 species
GAUGAAGAACGUAGCGAAAUGCGAUAAGUAAUGUGAAUUGCAGAAUUCAGUGUAUCAUCGAAUCUUUGAACGCAUCUUGCGCUCCUUGGUAUUCUGAGGAGCAUGCCUGUUUGAGUGUCAUUAAAUUCUCAACCGCACUGACUUUGAAUUGGUGUGGCUUGGAUUUGGGGGGAAAAUUGUUGUGGGCUUUUUUGUAUAGUCUGCUCCCCUGAAAUUGAUUAGCGGUACCUUUGUGGAACUGUCUACAGGUGUGAUAAUUAUCUACAUCCUAGACAUCUGCUGGAAUGCUGCUUUCUAAACCUUACUUGUAUUGACAAUCUUGACCUCAAAUCAGGUAGGACUACCCGCUGAACUUAAGCAUAUCAAUAAGCGGAGGA